GGGGGCGUAAAGGUUUCGACGGGGGUUUGGACCCUAGAGUAGCGAGUCGUGUUUCUCUGGACACGUAAAAAACUGGGGAUUAAAUAUAAACGCAAACGAUAAUUACGCUUUAGCAGCUUAGUAGCUGCUCGUCCUACCUAGCUGCCCACAAGCUAGACUAGGGCGUCGACUCAGUGGGGAACUAUCUUUAGGGUGUCUCGACUAAAGAUGGAUUGAUUGAGACUAGCUGAUCUCAAAGCCUUCUAUUGGGCGUUGGGUGAUGCGAAGCUCUAAAACAAUAGAUACGCUCGUAGAAGCUUUAGGCAAAGGACUUUCGGACAGGGGUUCGAUUCCCCUCGCCUCCACCA
rnacentral:tmRNA from 2 species